rnacentral:rRNA from 1 species
UAGGGAAUCUUCCACAAUGGACGCAAGUCUGAUGGAGCAACGCCGCGUGAGUGAAGAAGGUUUUCGGAUCGUAAAGCUCUGUUGUUGGUGAAGAAGGAUAGAGGUAGUAACUGGCCUUUAUUUGACGGUAAUCAACCAGAAAGUCACGGCUAACUACGUGCCAGCAGCCGCGGUAAUACGUAGGUGGCAAGCGUUGUCCGGAUUUAUUGGGCGUAAAGCGAGCGCAGGCGGAAGAAUAAGUCUGAUGUGAAAGCCCUCGGCUUAACCGAGGAACUGCAUCCGAAACUGUUUUUCUUGAGUGCAGAAGAGGAGAGUGGAAUUCCAUGUGUAGCGGUGGAAUGCGUAGAUAUAUGGAAGAACACCAGUGGCGAAGGCGACUCUCUGGUCUGCAACUGACGCUGAGGCUCGAAAGCAUGGGUAGCGAACAGG